rnacentral:lncRNA from 1 species
AUGUCACAUAGCAAUACAUUCGCUGGAGGGAAAAAUGACAGGAGGCAGGUAACAUUUUCCCUCAACUUAAAAACCCCAGGUUACCAGAACUGGAAAAAGAGUGAGGAAUUAAUCGUGCCAGAGUUCAUGCGGCCAGAAAUCUGUCAGACUCAAUCCCAGUGCAACCCAGCAUUCUUUCCAAUCCCUUUACUUUGUAUUGUUCCGGAAUUUUCCAGCAAAGCACAAGUCAACUCGCUGGAUCUUAAAAUGGAGCAGUUCAUCUUAACUGCAGCUGACAUUUGGAUUCUGAAGACGUAUCCUGCUUUCACGCUCUGUUAUCCUCCAUUUGGUUGAACGUCCCUGCUCUGUGCUGUUCCAAAAUAAAUUUGAAAAGUUACCGAAUCAAGAGCAAUAAAUGUAAUGAGAACAUAUGGAAGCGCUUAAGGUAUAUUGACGUGCAAAGAGAAGUGCUGAGCUGUUUUUGUGGGUUUGCAUUCAGCUGUCCGUGUGAUGAGUGGAGGACACAAGUUUAUCAGAGUAGUGUUUUUUUCUUUCUACUAAUGUGAAAUGUUUCAACAAUUUAGAUUAAAGAUGGGGGUCACCUGUGCCUAACAUACCUUUCAGUGAUUUCCUAUGACUUCAGAAAACAUGGGAGAAUAGUAGGAUUAUCACUUCUGAUUUAGGUAAAGCAGGGGUGGGCAGUAUGUAGUCCUCUAGAUAUGAUUAGACUGUAUCUCCCAUCAACCCGCACGACCUCUCCGCUCGUCGGGGGAGGCCCUCCUCUCGCUUCCACCAACUUCGCAGUUGCGGUUGGUGGGGACGAGGGAGAGGGCCUUCUCCGCCGUGGCCCCCCGGCUGUGGAACUCGCUCCCCAGGGAGAUUAGGCAGGCCCCUACCCUACUUUCUUUCAGGAAGAGCCUGAAAACUUGGCUAUUCCAGAAGGCCUUCGUUGACUGAUCCUUGUGGGAUCAUGUUAUUUACCUAUUAAGCAGUAGACCCUCUGGAUUGUUUUUAGGAUUCAUUCAGCACCUUAAGUAUUACACCUGCUGUAUAAUUAUCCCUCCCUGAUAACUUGAUAUUGCUUUGCACCUUGGCCUGGAUCUUUUGACCCAAAUCGGGAUUUUAAUAUUAUUGUGUAUAUUGACUUUUAUGACUGUUUUUAAUCAUGUUGAAGUUUUUACUGCUCGGUUUAAUGUUUUAUCUGAUUUGUGCUGUCGUGUCUGGGUAUGGCCCCAUGUAAGCCUCCCUGA